GGGGUUAUAGCUCAGUUGGUAGAGUGCUUGCCUCACAUGCAUGAGGCCUUGGGUUCAAUCCCCAGCACCA
rnacentral:tRNA from 1 species